UCAGGAAUCCCCCACCCAGGUGCCACUGCAGUUUAAUAACAACAAUGGCUGCCAUUCCCCACAUUGAUUAGUGCCUGGUAGUUCUUAGUGGUCUGUCUUUCACGUUUCGAUGACCAGUAUAUACGGUAUUAUAAGGUGAAGAUUUGGCAGUGGCCUAAAUAGUGAAUAAGCGAGCCAUGCCGGUGCUGCCAGCAUAUUUGACGUUCACUCAGUUCAAGUGAGUGUUAACUGUUUACCAGAAGAAAAGUCACCGCGCACCAAGUACACAUAAGAUAGAAGUACCCAAACAUCAAUUAAUUGCUGCUAUUGCAAUUUAGAAGAAAAAUGGUCCAAAUCAUGAUUUAUUGGUUUUUGCUGCGCUCUCUCAGUGAGUCAUGUAUUCAUGAUAUCACCAUUUGAAGCUUUAAUCACUUCAAUCUCUCCCUGCAGUAGAUCUGCAGGACCAAGGAACAGCCAGUUUAACUUCAUGCAAUAAGAGCUUUCACCAGCAUAGGCUGCAACAACGCGGUACAUCGGACAGC